UCCGGAUUAGCUCAGUGGUAGAGUAGGUGACUGUUAAUCACUUGGUCGUUGGUUCGAAUCCAACAUCCGGAGCCA
rnacentral:tRNA from 1 species